UACAGAGGUCUCAAGCGCUGUUCGGAUUCAUUGGGCGUAAAGGGUGCGUAGGCGGCGCGGUAAGUCGGGUGUGAAAUCUUGGAGCUUAACUCCGAAACUGCAUUCGAUACUGCCGUGCUUGAGGACUGGAGAGGAGACUGGAAUUUACGGUGUAGCGGUGAAAUGCGUAGAUAUCGUAAGGAAGACCAGUGGCGAAGGCGGGUCUCUGGGACGGUACUGACGCUGAGACGCGAAAGCGUGGGGAGCAAACAGG
rnacentral:rRNA from 1 species